UUGGAUCAUUGUUUUGAUUGAUUUGGAGGGCUGGGAUAGAGUCGACGAAAGUUGACUCCCCCCUAUUUGACUUUGACCAGUGGAACUGGACCCUUACACUGUGGGCUUUCUAAUAUCCUCACCCCCUAUGUUUUUCUUUUUUUUAUUGCAUGUUUUUUGAGGACUUGGGCUUUUAGGCCCUUGUGGCUUUAUUGUUUACAAAUAUGUCUUAUUUUUACACCCUUUUUUAUUUGAGUUUAUUUUUAUUAUUACUUUU
rnacentral:lncRNA from 1 species